CCUGAACCUGGGUGUGUGGGGCGGGGGGUGUCGGCUCCGCCCGCCUACUUAGGUGGGCGGAGACAGUCGCGUGAGUUCGGUGAGCCAGAUUCUCCCGCGCUAUUAACCAUCCCGCCCCCUUUUGCACAUGCGCGUACAUCAGUACUAGACCCGUGGGUUGUUGAGAGGCUGUGGAGUUGCGCCUGCGCUAUAGACCUCCCUGCCGGAAGUGGGCGGACCGUGUUCCAAAGCCUAAAGGGCGGAGGGAGAAAGCGCGGCAAAGGUCUGUGUUGCUGAAUGGAACGCUGAAUCCGGACACUGUCUCAGGUGCCCUGCUGCAGAACUACUGAGCCUAGAAAUGUUAUGACCGGAAUAUGGUCAGAGAGAACUUACUUUUCGAUUUUAAAAAGGUUUUACAAGAUUAUUCUGUUUACAUGUGUGUUAAAUGAAGAUUUUAAGGAAAGGGAGGAUUUCCCCUAAAUUUCCUUCCCCACCGCCCGCCCCCCCCCCCCGAAUUCUUACAUUUCUAGAAGACUUAAGGAGUCAAAGAGAUAUUUGAAUGCCUAUAUGCCCAGUUGGAGAACAAGUAUUCUGGCCAAAAACAAAAACAAAAAACCAGCGUAUGUUCUCAACCACAGAAACGUUCGUCCCUAGUCAGGAAACCAUUAGGAAGAUACAUUAAAUAAGAGCCGGAAAAGAAAGAAAUCUGCAUCAAGGGGAUGAGGCAGAAGGUGACUUUUGGACCACAGUGACCUGGUUAAACAGGGAGAAGCUGGAAAACUCUAAGAACGUCUCAAGCUGCAGUCUCCAUGGCCAUUGUGGGGCUUAAAUUCAUGAUCCUGAGAUCAAGAGUCUCGUGCUCUACUGACUGAGCCAGCCAGGCACCUCACUAUCCUUUUAACUCCAGUGAAUGGUUGAAAAACUGGUCCUUUCCACAACCUACUUCAUUUUCUCCCAUUUUAUAAUCACUGCAUUUGAUACUGACUUUGUCAUGUGUCUCACACAUGUCCUGGACCGUGAUAAUAUGGGCGGGUAGAGUGGGUGGCUGUGGUUCCCUGCAGUAGACCCUAUUGGUUGCUACUGAAAUUUGAUCCCCUUUCCUUCUUGAUGGCAGAUCUCCAAAUGUAUGAGCUUCCCUCUUGUUCAGGGAGGGUGACCCCCACCUCCCAGAGCCAGGGGGUAAAUUAUCAUUGAGCAAUCUUUUCUGUAAACAUAGUAAAUAUUUUUUGGCUUUAAAGGUCAGAUGUUUAAAGGCAACAAUAUAUAACUAUAUUUCUAAAAUGUUGAAUGAAAUUGAGAUUGUGUUAUAAAUGAUAUGGACCUCAUUCAAAACUCAAAACGUUAGGCUCUGCUUUAGUUCAUUCAGGCUUCUGUGACAAAAUACCAUAGGCUGAGUGGCUUAUAAACAACAGAAUUUUAUAUCUCACAGUCUAGAGGCUGGAAGUCCAGCCUGGUCAGGUAAAUGCCCUCUUCCAGAUUACAGACUUGUUUCCUCACAUGGUAGAAGGGGCUAGGGAGCUCUGUGGGAUCUCUUUUAUAAGGACACUAAUCCCAUUAGUGAGGCUCCACUCUCAUGGCCUAAUCACCUCCCAAAGGCCCUACUUCCUAAUACCAGCACAUUGGGCACUGGAGUUCCAACAUGUGAAUUUGGGGGGACACAAGCAUUUAGGCCAUAGCAGGCCCUAAAUAUAAAUUAUUAAUAAGAAAAUCUCAUGGGGUGUCCGGGUGGCUCAGUUGAUUAUGCAUCCGACUCAGUUUCAGCUCAGGUCAUGAUCUCAUGGUUUCGUGGGUUCGAGCCCCGCUUCAGGCCUGCGCUGACAGUGUGGAACCUGCUUGAGAUUCUCUUUCUCUCUCCCUCUCUCUGCCCUUCCCCUGUUCAUGCUGUCUCUGUCUCUCUCAAAAAUAAAUAAAUAGACUUAAAAAAAUUUAAAAUACAAAAAAAAAUCUCCUGAUCUUAGGUACCUUUCCAAGGAAGAGUUCGGCAUUACAAAUCUAUUCCUGUAUCCCAGAUAGUUAUGUUAGUUUUUGUGGUAAAACAAACAGCAACCUGUUUCUCAGUGGCAUCCAGCAAAGAACAUUUCUGUAGCUUAUUCAGUUUUGCUGGUCCAGGCUGGCCUUGGUUAAGGCAGUUCUGCACCAAGUGUCUCUCAUUGUCCCUCUGGGAUCAAUGGGCAGCUCAGAAAUACUUUAACUGCAAUGGCAGGAGUGUGAGAGAGCAAGCCUAUUCGUUCAAAUGCUUUUUAAAUCUUUGGUAACGGACAAAACAAGCUACAUGACCAAAUCUCAAAUGAAGUAUAGGAAGUACACUCUGCCUAGGGAGUGUGGAGUGAGUGCUCUGUUGAUCUGGUUACAAUGAGUCCUUUACAACAAAAUUUUCUAUACAAGCUACUUUGUCAGAUUCGUAGCGAUGGUGUGAUGAAAAACAAAAACAAAAAGAAACCUGAGACAAGCCCCUGCACUGUAAUUUACUGGAUAAUCUGGACAGCUUUCUUUCCUUUUUUUUUUUUUUCUCAUUGUUUUAUUUAUUUUCA